AGCUCUGAUGUUUUUUUCCUUCUCCUCGGAUUACAGCCUCAACACGUUGGCCCCGACUCCGCGCUUUCACCCCCAGGUACCCAUUGAUGCCAUCACGCCCACCCGCGACACUUUUGUCCGCCCUGACUUCCAAAAAUUAAUGUGCUGAGUGCAAAGCACUGUUGCGAAGGACCGUCCCACCUCCAGUUGACCAGAACAUAGUGAGAUCCUCCACGUGACAUGUGACAUCUUAAUAUCAUACUGGAGUCUUCUCCCCAGUUUAACUGAUUAGAGUCUGGGGGCAGCCUCUCCUUACACUUCUCCAAACCAUUUUCCUAUAAUGAAUGGAUUUAAUGAAA